ACAGCCACAUCAUGUUGAAAUGCCAGUUCCCAUAUGAUUUCCAAAGUUAAGCAACAUGGAGACUAGUCAGUACUUAGAUGGGUAACUGCUUGGGAAUACCAGGUGCUGUAA